UCGCGAAACUCCGCAAUACGCGAAGGCGUGACGGGGCUAUCCCGAGUGCCGUCCGCUGAGGAUGGCUUUUCCCCAGUGUAGAUAGCUGGGGGAAUAAGGAGAGGGCAAGUCUGGUGUCAGCCGCCGCGGUAAUACCAGCUCUCCGAGUGGUGGGGACGUUUAUUGGGCCUGAAGCAUCCGUAGCCAGCUGAGCAAGUCCCCAGUUAAAUCCAGCGAUUUAAUCGUUGGACUGCUGGGGAUACUGUCCGGCUAGGGGGUGGGAGAGGCCGACGGUAUUCCCGGGGUAGGGGUGAAAUCCUAUAAUCCCGGGAGGACCACCAGUGGCGAAGGCUGUUGGCUAGAACAUGCCCGACGGUGAGGGAUGAAAGCUGGGGGAGCGAACCGGAUUAGAUACCCGGGUAGUCCCAGCUGUAAACGAUGCAAGCUAGGUGUUAGGGCGGCCACGUGCCGCUCUAGUGCCGCAGGGAAGCUGUUAAGCCUGCCGCCUGGGGAGUACGGCCGCAAGGCUGAAACUUAAAGGAAUUGCGGGGGGAGCAC
rnacentral:rRNA from 1 species